UACGGAGGAUCCGAGCGUUAUCCGGAUUUAUUGGGUUUAAAGGGUGCGUAGGCUGGGGAUUAAGUCAGUGGUGAAAGUUUGCGGCUCAACCGUAAAAUUGCCGUUGAUACUGGUUCUCUUGAGUACAUUUGAGGCAGGCGGAAUGUGGUGUGUAGCGGUGAAAUGCAUAGAUAUACCACAGAACACCGAUUGCGAAGGCAGCUUGCUAAGAUGUGACUGACGCUGAAGCACGAAAGCAUGGGGAUCAAACAGG
rnacentral:rRNA from 1 species